rnacentral:rRNA from 1 species
GACGACGCUGGCGGCGUGCCUGACACAUGCAAGUCGGACGGUUCUUGUAUCUUCAAGCUUGCUUGCAGGUGCAAGGAUAGUGGCGGACGGGUGAGUAACGCGUGAACAUCUACCCAUUGGAGGGGGACAACCCGUCGAAAGGCGGGCUAAUACCGCGUAAGCCGCGAGGUGAGAGGCUGCCUAUUGGUGGCCGCCGAUGGAUGGGUUCGCGUCCUAUCAGCUGGUUGGUGGGGUAACGGCCUACCAAGGCGAAGACGGGUAGCCGGUCUGAGAGGAUGGCCGGCCACACUGGAACUGAGACACGGUCCAGACUCCUACGGGAGGCAGCAGUGGGGAAUAUUGCACAAUGGGCGAAAGCCUGAUGCAGCGACGCCGCGUGAGGGAUGACGGCCUUCGGGUUGUAAACCUCUUUCAGCAGGGAAGAAGCGAAAGUGACGGUACCUGCAGAAGAAGCACCGGCUAACUACGUG